rnacentral:rRNA from 1 species
GCUACCAUGCAGUCGAACGGCAGCACAGGAGAGCUUGCUCUCUGGGUGGCGAGUGGCGGACGGGUGAGGAAUACAUCGGAAUCUACUCUGUCGUGGGGGAUAACGUAGGGAAACUUACGCUAAUACCGCAUACGACCUACGGGUGAAAGCAGGGGACCUUCGGGCCUUGCGCGAUUGAAUGAGCCGAUGUCGGAUUAGCUAGUUGGCGGGGUAAAGGCCCACCAAGGCGACGAUCCGUAGCUGGUCUGAGAGGAUGAUCAGCCACACUGGAACUGAGACACGGUCCAGACUCCUACGGGAGGCAGCAGUGGGGAAUAUUGGACAAUGGGCGCAAGCCUGAUCCAGCCAUACCGCGUGGGUGAAGAAGGCCUUCGGGUUGUAAAGCCCUUUUGUUGGGAAAGAAAUCCAGCUGGCUAAUACCCGGUUGGGAUGACGGUACCCAAAGAAUAAGCACCGGCUAACUUCGUGCCAGCAGCCGCGGUAAUACGAAGGGUGCAAGCGUUACUCGGAAUUACUGGGCGUAAAGCGUGCGUAGGUGGUCGUUUAAGUCCGUUGUGAAAGCCCUGGGCUCAACCUGGGAACUGCAGUGGAUACUGGGCGACUAGAAUGUGGUAGAGGGUAGCGGAAUUCCUGGUGUAGCAGUGAAAUGCGUAGAGAUCAGGAGGAACAUCCAUGGCGAAGGCAGCUACCUGGACCAACAUUGACACUGAGGCACGAAAGCGUGGGGAGCAAACAGGAUUAGUCCC